UACAGAGACUGCAAGCGUUUAUUCGGAUUCACUGGGCGUAAAGGGUGCGCAGGCGCCAAGUGUGUCAGGUGUGAAAUCCCGAGCUUAACCUCGGAACUGCGCCUGAAACUACUUGGCUAGAGUACUGGAGAGGGUAACGGAAUUCACGGUGUAGCAGUGAAAUGCGUAGAUAUCGUGAGGAACACCAGAGGCGAAGGCGACUUACUGGACACAUAUUGACGCUGAGGUGCGAAAGCGUGGGGAGCAAACAGG
rnacentral:rRNA from 1 species